rfam:Myotis lucifugus cont2.36864, whole genome shotgun sequence.
GGCAGUUCUUGGGUGAUGCACUCCAGAAUCAGGCUCCCUCCUCUCUGGUUCCGGGUGCAUCACCUGAGAACCGCA